rnacentral:rRNA from 1 species
AAGGUGGCUUUCGGGCUGUCGCAGAUGGAUGAGCCUGCGUUGGAUUAGCUAGUUGGUGGGGUAAGGGCCCACCAAGGCUACGAUCCAUAGCUGAUUUGAGAGGAUGAUCAGCCACAUUGGGACUGAGACACGGCCCAAACUCCUACGGGAGGCAGCAGUGGGGAAUAUUGGACAAUGGGGGCAACCCUGAUCCAGCAAUGCCAUGUGUGUGAAGAAGGCCCUAGGGUUGUAAAGCACUUUAGUUGGGGAGGAAAGCCUCAAGGUUAAUAGCCUUGGGGGAGGACGUUACCCAAAGAAUAAGCACCGGCUAACUCCGUGCCAGCAGCCGCGGUAAUACGGGGGGUGCAAGCGUUAAUCGGAAUUACUGGGCGUAAAGGGUCUGUAGGUGGUUUGUUAAGUCAGAUGUGAAAGCCCAGGGCUCAACCUUGGAACUGCAUUUGAUACUGGCAAACUAGAGUACGGUAGAGGAAUGGGGAAUUUCUGGUGUAGCGGUGAAAUGCGUAGAGAUCAGAAGGAACACCAAUGGCGAAGGCAACAUUCUGGACCGAUACUGACACUGAGGGACGAAAGCGUGGGGAUCAAACAGGAUUAGAUACCCUGGUAGUCCACGCUGUAAACGAUGAGUACUAGCUGUUGGAGUCGGUGUAAAGGCUCUAGUGGCGCAGCUAACGCGAUAAGUACUCCGCCUGGGGACUACGGCCGCAAGGCUAAAACUCAAAGGAAUUGACGGGGACCCGCACAAGCGGUGGAGCAUGUGGUUUAAUUCGAUGCAACGCGAAGAACCUUACCUGGUCUUGACAUCCUGCGAACUUUCUAGAGAUAGAUUGGUGCCUUCGGGAACGCAGUGACAGGUGCUGCACGGCUGUCGUCAGCUCGUGUUGUGAAAUG